CUCCCAGACUCCUACGGGAGGCAGCAGUGGGGAAUAUUGCACAAUGGGGGAAACCCUGAUGCAGCGACGCCGCGUGAGCGAGGAAGUAUUUCGGUAUGUAAAUCUCUGUCAGCAGGGAAGAAGAAUGACGGUACCUGAAGAAGAAGCACCGGCUAAAUACGUGCCAGCAGCCGCGGUAAUACGUAGGGGGCAAGCGUUAUCCGGAUUUACUGGGUGUAAAGGGAGCGUAGACGGCUAGUCAAGUCAGAAGUGAAAGCCCAGGGCUCAACCUUGGGACUGCUUUUGAAACUGUGUAGCUAGAGUGCAGGAGAGGUAAGCGGAAUUCCUAGUGUAGCGGUGAAAUGCGUAGAUAUUAGGAGGAACACCAGUGGCGAAGGCGGCUUACUGGACAGUAACUGACGUUGAGGCUCGAAAGCGUGGGGAGCACACAGGAUUAGAUACCCGUGUAA
rnacentral:rRNA from 1 species